UUUGCCAAAAAUGCAUUAAAAAGGUCCUGAUCAAACUUCGAAGUGAGCCCUGCUUGGAACAAAAGACUGGAUUAGGUGACCUCUGUGAUCAGGUUGUGUGUAUCAUAAAUACGUAGCACUGAACUGCUUGGCCUUCUCUAUAGCUUUUAAUGCAAAACACCUAGUAAAAUGAUCAGAGUAAUAGCUAAAUGGUAGAGAAGGAUUCAACAAGUGUUGGAAGACUAGUAGCGGUAAUCUAUGCCAUCCACUUCUGCAUUAUAUAGAGACAGGUAAAACAAUACCUAGUGCUCCACCAGGCUCUCGGCUAGAAGAUCAACUGUCCGGAGUGGGACAAAAAUGCUAUUUCACUUACAAGAAGAGGAAAUGUUUAGUAACACUCUCUCCUUUAUCCUUUUCCCUCAACACCUUUUAACUGAAUCAAGUAUAAACUCUAUAAAUCAAUGGGAUUAAUUUAUAUCUUAAAUCUCUUUAGGACAAGCACUCAGAAGACAGAUAGGGGCCUGAUUCUGCAACUACUUAUAUCGGGUAACCCAAGCAGUUUUGGGCUCAAGAAUAAAAAUCCUCAAACACUGAUAAGAGAGGAUGAGAGGACUUCCUUGCCAUUUCUCUCUCCAGCCAYCUGUUUUGAAUUGGAUACAUGCACUGAACUCAAAUUUUAUGUUCACAAGAGAAGUCUGCCAGUCUCUCCUACAGAAUUUCUGAGAAGUCCUAAACUCUACCUUGUUCUCAACAGCCAAAAAGAACUGUGAUGCCUUCACCCUCCUUGUAGCAGGAAAACUUAUCAACAAACACUUCAUACCAUUUUGGGGAUGAGGAUGCCUUCCAAAAAAAGCGUAGUGAAUUUUUUUGUUUGUUUGUUUCUUUUCACCAUUCUUGCCUUUGGAGCAUUAAGUGUCCGCAUUAUAAUAUAUGUCUCAUUAGAAACAUUGUGUGUAGCAGUCUUGCAGAGAGGGAUUCCUAACAUUUUCUGGGAAUCUGUGACCUUACUAUUAUCAGAAAGCAUCAAAAGCCAUUAUCUAAUGGACACAAAGUAGUUUUCUGAAACAGAUUUCUGAAAACGUAAUUUUUCUUUUUCCUUAUGCUGCUACAAGAUAGAACAAAGGUCACUG
rnacentral:lncRNA from 1 species